rnacentral:rRNA from 1 species
AUUGAACGCUGGCGGCGUGCCUAAUACAUGCAAGUAGAACGCAGUUGCGAACGGGUGAGUAACGCGUAGGUAACUGCCUGGUAGCGGGGGAUAACUAUUGGAAACGAUAGCUAAUACCGCAUACUACCAGAUGGACCUGCGUUGUAUUAGCUAGUUGGUGGGGUAACGACCCACCCAGGCAACGAGACAUAGCCGACCUGGGAGGGGGAGCGGCCACACGUGGAACGGGAACCGGCCCAGACUCCUACGGGAGGCAGCAGUAGGGAAUCUUCGGCAAUGGACGGAAGUCUGAACGAGCAAAGGCGCGUGGGUUAAGAAGGUUUUCGGAUCGGAAAGCUCUGUUGUAAGAGAAGCGGUAUCUUACCAGAAAGGGACGGCUAACUACGUGCCAGCAGCCGCGGUGAUAC